rnacentral:rRNA from 1 species
AGCGGCGGACGGGUGAGUAACACGUGGGCAACCUGCCUGUAAGACUGGGAUAACUCCGGGAAACCGGGGCUAAUACCGGAUAACUCUUUUCCUCACAUGAGGAAAAGCUGAAAGAUGGUUUCGGCUAUCACUUACAGAUGGGCCCGCGGCGCAUUAGCUAGUUGGUGAGGUAACGGCUCACCAAGGCCACGAUGCGUAGCCGACCUGAGAGGGUGAUCGGCCACACUGGGACUGAGACACGGCCCAGACUCCUACGGGAGGCAGCAGUAGGGAAUCUUCCGCAAUGGACGAAAGUCUGACGGAGCAACGCCGCGUGAGUGAUGAAGGUUUUCGGAUCGUAAAACUCUGUUGUCAGGGAAGAACAAGUACCGGAGUAACUGCCGGUACCUUGACGGUACCUGACCAGAAAGCCACGGCUAACUACGUGCCAGCAGCCGCGGUAAUACGUAGGUGGCAAGCGUUGUCCGGAAUUAUUGGGCGUAAAGCGCGCGCAGGCGGUUCCUUAAGUCUGAUGUGAAAGCCCCCGGCUCAACCGGGGAGGGUCAUUGGAAACUGGGGAACUUGAGUGCAGAAGAGAAGAGUGGAAUUCCACGUGUAGCGGUGAAAUGCGUAGAGAUGUGGAGGAACACCAGUGGCGAAGGCGACUCUUUGGUCUGUAACUGACGCUGAGGCGCGAAAGCGUGGGGAGCAAACAGGAUUAGAUACCUGGUAGUCCACGCCGUAAACGAUGAGUGCUAAGUGUUAGAGGUUUCCGCCCUGUAGUGCUGCAGCAA